rnacentral:rRNA from 3 species
AACGCCCGGUCCCAUUCCGAACCCGGAAGCUAAGACCCACAGCGCCGAUGGUACUGCACCCGGGAGGGUGUGGGAGAGUAGGACACCGCCGGAC